GACGAACGCUGGCGGCGCGCUUAACACAUGCAAGUCGAGCGAAGCGGCGGACGGGUGAGUAACACGUGAGUAACCUGCCUUAGACAUUGGGAUAGCCUCGGGAAACCAGGAUUAAUACCAAAUGGUCUAAGAUGGACUCGCGUCCCAUUAGCUAGUUGGUGGGUAACGGCCCACCAAGGCGACGAUGGGUAGCCGGCAUGAGAGGGUGAACGGCCACAUUGGAACUGAGAAACGGUCCAAACUCUACGGGAGGCAGCAGUGGGGAAUAUUGCACAAUGGAGGGAACUCUGAUGCAGCGACGCCGCUGGAACGAAGAAGGCUUGCGAGACGUAAAGUUAUUUUAGAUGGGAAGCGGUACCAGAAGAAAAAGCCCCGGCUAACUACGUGCCAGCAGCCGCGGUAAUUC
rnacentral:rRNA from 1 species